ensembl:snRNA U6 U6 spliceosomal RNA
GUGCUCACUUUGGCAGCACAUAUACGAAGAUUGGGAUGAUAAGAGAAGAUUAGCAUGCCCCCCGCCCCUGUGCAAGGGUGACACACAGACUUGUGAAGCAUUCCAUAUUUAA